AUCCAGGUUGAAAGAACUCGUCUUCUUUGGCACUGACGCGCUCAGGAACCCUCACAACCUGUCUCAAGGAUGCUCAUUGGGACGCCUUCUAUUCCGAUUGAGCAAACUGUGAGCCGAAACUAUGUGCGCUUAUUGUUGUUUUGAAACUCUAACCACUGCUGGGAAACGGAGUGCUACGACGCGCUAUAACCCUUGCUUGCUUGCUUGCUUCUGGAUUCCCUCCAAAAGACAAAAAUCUUUUGGAUGUGAAGAGAAUUUUUCUCUUAGCCACCAAAAUCCCGGAAAACCUGCUCCUUUGUGAACUAUUCCAGGUUGUUGGGAAUUUUCUCGACUCAGAUUGACGCCGACCAUUCCAUCAUGUUGAGAAGCUCCAAAGCUGACAAGAAUUCUUUGAGCUAAAAGGAAUUCAUGCACCCGUGCGAUUGAUGAUUGAGCAUAAUGGACACGGUGUGGAAUUUGGGAGUGAUAUUUGUGUCGAUAAAAGAUCGUGCUUGAGGCCAUGGUGGACAUCAUACACAAAAGAAAUUAUUUCAAGCCAAAUGCCCCUCUUUAUAAGCGAAUUUAGAGGGUGCUAUUGUUCGUUCGACUUGGAAAACUUGAACUAUGAGGGAUAUUUUUUAUCAUGAAGCAUGGACCUUGCCUUUUCAAAGCAAUUGCCUUGGACGGGGGGUGACAGGAAAUUGAUUUCAUUCUGCAAGUCAAGUUUCCCCAGAAACCCAUUUCCUCUGGAAUCGUCGUCGUCGACUCUUUUGGGUGGGCAAACAAUAUCUAUAUCCCAAAUGAGCCAGCAUAAUCAAAAUUCACAAAAUGAAGAGACUCCAUCCAUUGUUCGGGCACAUAUGGACAGAAGGGAAUGAUUCUCAAGAAAUAUGAGCUCUUGGAAUACAAUUUGGACCAGGAUUCGUUGGGAGAUCGAAAUUAGAUCUCCUCCUACAAGAUCAGAGUUUGGUCACUUUUCAACUUACAAGACACCCGACUUGUUUCCCAUAUUGCAACGGAGUGAACUCAAAACUGGUUUCUACAUUUUAUGCCUUGACAAUUGUUUCACCUCUUGUUGCCAGAGCUGUUUACGCCUUCUGCACACGUGACCUAGAGUACCAGGGGAUAGGAAUAUACAACAAGUUUUGGAAAAGUGAGAAUGAAGUACAUAGCAGAUCUCUGCCCGGCGUUUGUUCUUUGUGUCAGUCUCUCUUGAAUGAAUUUUUCUUUUCCUCCUGAGGUUCAACUCGUUUAGCUCCCAGGUGAAAUCCAAGGCAUUAUCUCGACUUAAGUGCACCGACCCGGCCAAGUCAAUCUGUAGGUUUAAGUUUUUUCCCACGGACUCCUCUAUUUUUUUUCUUUGUUGGAGAAUAAGGAUGUAUUUACAUUACAUCAUCACUUACUGACUCUCUCGCUAUCUCACCUCCUUUGCAUAUCCAAAACUUUACUAGAAACUGCUGAUUGAGAAUGAGCUGUUUGAGCUGACUUAAAGCAUCGUUUCAUUCCCACGGCCAAACCUGAAACGAUCCGUUGAGCAACCAUUUUCUACAAUCGACCCAUUGUGAAUGUUCCUCUGGAUUUCAAGCCAACCACCAAGUGCCUAGUGAGGUAGCUAACAGUCAGUUGAAAUUGAUCCCUCCGGAUGGCAUCCUUGACGAGAGCAAUGUGAUGAGAGUGGGUUCGUCUCCUUGGUCUCUCGCUCGCCAAUGAUUCGAAAGAGAUCUUCUGAUGACAGACGAAUAAUGGGUUGAUUGGAUGGAGUUAUCGAGGGAUAUAAUUGGUGACUUUGGACUGGAAAACGGGUUCGAGCACUGCCUGUCAAGUGUGUUCAAAAUCUCGUUGAAAUACCUUUGAACCUCGGCCUAUUUGGACAAUUACUAAAGUUCAAUCCUAACAAUGAGAGAUAGUUGGUUGUCCUUGGAGAAGUUGUCGGAGAUAUCUUGGACAUGAAAAUUGAAAACUGAAUCUCUAGCCGAACAGCUGGUAACUUGUGGAAUUAAACAAAAUAUGUUAGUCAUCCAGGGCAAAAAAGUCAGUUUUUCCCUUCCAACCCAAUGAUUACAAGAAUACCCAUCCAGGAGGUUGGGCGGUGCGGUUAUUUUUGCCCGUCAACCCAAAUCACCCUUGUAUUCGUGGUGGUGGGGUGGGUUUAGCCGAGGACGCAAAAGUGAAGCUUAGGUUGACAGCUAAAUUUAGCCUAUAAUUAAACCAUUUGAAACCAUUGGAGAACCAACUUUGAAGACUUGUCUGUUUUAUUCUUGUGAUAUGUUCUCGAAACCUUUGAGUUCUAUGGCUUAUAGACCUAUCUUCAUACUAUCUAGGAUCCUUUUAAAUCUAAUUUCUGGGUUGCAUAGAUUGAAGAGAUAUUAUAACAGAGCCUGGAGGGCAUUUCAAUGAAAAACCACUUUGCAUGUUUCUGAAGCCUGCUUUUUCCCCUUGGCCACGAAGAAUUCUGCUUAAUUUUCUAGACACUACCCUGUAAUUUUAAGUUGACCCUUAGCCUUCCAUUUCUUUGCAAUCACACUGUUGUGAAACAUGUUUAAUCCUAAAUAUUGUUUCUCUCACAAUAUGCUUCAUGUAAGAAUAGGACGAUAAUGAAAAAUAAGUCCCCCCAGCUUCUUUGAGCACUGAACGUACAAAUACGGUUCAACGUACAUUUUUCUGACAGUGUGAUGAGAGUGUCUGCGAUUUAAUACUCUGAGGAGAAGGAUCCGCAAUAAUUCUACCAUCUUACGCAUCCCAAGCAUCUUUAAAGAUCUUUCUUCCCCCAACUUCUCUGCUACCGUAUUAAGCACAUGGGUCAAAGACUCAAAAACCAUCAUCGUAAAUGAUGGCGAAUUCAGACACCAGGAUUAGAUGCUAAUCUCACAUAGCAAUAUUCCGCCCAAAAAAUGGAUCGACCUUUAAGUCGAUGACAAGGGCAAUAUGCAUGCAUAUAAUUGAAUAUCGUUCCCAAGUUUGGCUUUUUAGACCCGAGUGUAAUGGUGACAAACACUGAUUGCAUUUCCACAGGUAAUCUGUGGAUUUUUUGUUCUAGUGAUACAGAGUGAUGACGAAGGUUGAAGGGCUCAAUGUCCGAGCGGCAAUGAUCUUUCCCACGCUCCUGUUUUUCAUGAAAGGCGUCUUAGAGAAUCCCCAUCAACAAGCAAGUGAGCCAGUCAAGCAGCCAGCAAGACCAACAAGAACAACCAAGCCAGUAAUACGUAAAGAAAUACGUACGAGUACCUAGAGGACGUCCUAUACAUGAGAGCAGGCCGCACAAUUCUACCUGAGUGCUCAGAUUCUUCUUUGUGGUGGCCCCAAAGCCUUGGUUACCCGGUCUGGUACAAUUGGUUUGGGGGGCUUCAGCCAGGGAAAUCGUCGUCUCGUCUCACCCGUCUCACCACGGUGGUCAAAAAGCCCUAUCAAGUAUUG